ensembl:lncRNA
AAAAACACUAAUGUAAUGUUACGUCUGGUGUCAAUAAUUGAAAUAAAACAUAAAGACAAUAAUAACAGCUCAAUUCUGGUUAGCGUCUCCGGUUUCAGCAGUUUUCUAUCGUUCGUACUGGCUCACACUCAUGGCCGACUUGGAUAAUAUAUUAACUUAAAUAUAACUAACGUUAACUUAACUUCGUUAGCAGCGACAGCAGCCGUUGACCUGCCUGACUUAACCUGAACAAAAGCACAGAAAAAAAUCCAUGGUGGUGCAGCUGUCAUUCCCAACCUGAGGGAGUCGAGGGCUGAACCAUACUCAGAUGUGGUCACUGAAAAGACACGAGAGCGGCGGGCCUGAGUGGCUGACAUUUAGGAAAAGGAAUCUGUGGCUCAGCAGUUACCGGCGGCGCUGAAGCUGUUGAAAGGGGCCACGGCAGCGCCUGCUAAUGCUACAUGAUCUAGGCUGGACUUACACCUAAAGCCCGGGCUCGCUGAAGGACACGCAUACGAGACACGGGCUUCAGCAAAUGAUUUGAGAUGAAGUAUUUUGCUCCAUGGAUCUUGUUACCUUAACUUGGA